rnacentral:tRNA from 1 species
GGCCACGGACCCGUGGCUGCAACGCGGGCCGGCAACCCGCCGGUCGAGUUGCCUCGGUUCGAAUGCGGCUGUGGCCU